rnacentral:rRNA from 1 species
CGGUAUAUUGACCGUGCGAAGGUAGCAUAAUAAUUAGUCUUUUAAUUGAAGACUGGAAUGAAAGGUUGAACAAGAAGUUAGCUGUCUCUAAAUUAAAUUUUGAAUUUAACAUUUAAGUGAAAAGGCUUAAAUAUUUUAAAGGGACGAUAAGACCCUAUAAAUCUUUAUACUUGAUUUUAUAGAGCAAAAUAUUAAAAUAAUUUUUGUUCAAUAGGUUUGGGUAUUUUGUUGGGGCGACAGGAGUAUAAAAUGUAACUGCUCUAAAAUGAUAGUUAGUUGAUAUUUAGUUAAGUGAUCCUUUAAUAAAGAUGUUAGUUUAAGUUACUUUAGGGAUAACAGCGUAAUUUUUUUUGAGAGUCCAUAUCGAAAAAAAAGUUUGCGACCUCGAUGUUGAAUUAAAGAUCCUUUAUGGUGCAGAAG